rnacentral:tRNA from 1 species
GCCUGAGUGGCUCAGUCGGUUAAGCGUCUGACUUCAGCUCAGGUCAUGAUCUUGUGGGUUCGUGAGUUCGAGCCCCACAUCAGGCU